UAGGGAAUCUUCGGCAAUGGACGAAAGUCUGACCGAGCAACGCCGCGUGAGUGAAGAAGGUUUUCGGAUCGUAAACUCUGUUGGUAGAGAAGAACGUUGGUGAGAGUGGAAAGCUCAUCAAGUGACGGUAACUACCCAGAAAGGGACGGCUAACUACGUGCCU
rnacentral:rRNA from 1 species